UUACAUGUACUCUUUCUCUGCAUUAUUUUAUCUGUGGUGUUGUCACAAAGAUUCAAAAAGAUCUACACACCUGUACGAGAUGUACGAUUUCCACAGGUUGCCCCGUUUUCUCUACAGCAGCGUCCUCCUUUCUGGCAAGUUGGUGUUGAAGGAAAUGAUCUACUAAUGGAUCACAUAUGGAUUUCAUGAAAGGAAGAGUGGGUCAGAAUACAAGCAGUCCAUGACUAUGGCAA